rnacentral:rRNA from 1 species
GACGAACGCUGGCGGCGUGCUUAACACAUGCAAGUCGAACGGAAAGGCCCUGCUUUUGUGGGGUGCUCGAGUGGCGAACGGGUGAGUAACACGUGAGUAACCUGCCCUUGACUUUGGGAUAACUUCAGGAAACUGGGGCUAAUACCGGAUAGGAGCUCCUGCUGCAUGGUGGGGGUUGGAAAGUUUCGGCGGUUGGGGAUGGACUCGCGGCUUAUCAGCUUGUUGGUGGGGUAGUGGCUUACCAAGGCUUUGACGGGUAGCCGGCCUGAGAGGGUGAACGGGCACAUGGGGACUGAGGUACGGCCCAGACGCCUACGGGAGGCAGCAGUGGGGAAUAUGGCACAGUGGGCGGAAGCCUGAUGCAGAAACGCCGCGUGCGGGAUGACGGCCUUCGGGUUGUAAACCGCUGUCGCCUGUGACGAAGCGGGAGUGACGGUAAUGGGUAAAGAAGCACCGGCUAACUACGUG